GUAAGACGGGAUAACUCCGGGAAACCGGUGCUAUACGGAUAGAUUAUCUUUCGGCUGGAGAGAUAAGGAAAGAUGGCUAUGCCAUCACUUACAGAUGGGCCGCGCGCAUUAGCUAGUGGUGAGGUAACGGCUCACCAAGGCGACGAUGCGUAGCCGACUGAGAGGGUGAUCGGCCACACUGGGACUGAGACACGGCCCAGACUCUACGGGAGGCAGCAGUAGGGAAUCUUCCGCAAUGGACGAAAGUCUGACGGAGCAACGCCGCGUGAGUGAAGAAGGUCUUCGGAUCGUAAAGCUCUGUUGUUAGGGAAGAACAAGUAUCGGAGGAAAUGCCGGUACCUUGACGGUACCUGACGAGAAAGCCACGGCUAACUACGUGCCAGCAGCCGCGGUAAUACGUAGGUGGCAAGCGUUGUCCGGAUUUAUUGGGCGUAAAGCGCGCGCAGGCGGUCCUUUAAGUCUGAUGUGAAAUCUUGCGGCUCAACCGCAAGCGGUCAUUGGAAACUGGGGGACUUGAGUGCAGAAGAGGAAAGCGGAAUUCCACGUGUAGCGGUGAAAUGCGUAGAGAUGUGGAGGAACACCAGUGGCGAAGGCGGCUUUCUGGUCUGUAACUGACGCUGAGGCGCGAAAGCGUGGGGAGCAAACAGGAUUAGAUACCCUGGUAGUCCACGCCGUAAACGAUGAGUGCUAAGUGUUGGAGGGUUUCCGCCCUUCAGUGCUGCAGCUAACGCAUUAAGCACUCCGCCUGGGGAGUACGGUCGCAAGACUGAAACUCAAAUGAAUUGA
rnacentral:rRNA from 1 species